rnacentral:rRNA from 1 species
UACGAAGGGGGCUAGCGUUGCUCGGAAUCACUGGGCGUAAAGGGUGCGUAGGCGGGUUUUUAAGUCAGGGGUGAAAUCCUGGAGCUCAACUCCAGAACUGCCUUUGAUACUGAAGAUCUUGAGUCCGGGAGAGGUGAGUGGAACUGCGAGUGUAGAGGUGAAAUUCGUAGAUAUUGGGAAGAACACCGGUGGCGAAGGCGGCUCACUGGCUCGUAUCUGACGCUCAGGCGCGACAGCGUGGGGAUCAAACAGG